AAAAACAAAAUUAAAUGAUGUGAAAAAAAUUAAAAGAAAAUUAAACAAAUAAUUCAUAAAAUUGUUUGAAAUGUUUGGCAAGAUUGAUGAUGAUAUUAGUAAUAAAAAGCAUGAUUGGAAAUAGCAGUAGCAGCGGCGCCGGAGAACGCGGAAUGGACAGCCUCAACCUAUCCAUGUAACUAAACUAAAUACAAGGAAGAGAUACACACCUGUGCGGUUUUUUUUCGACAGUGUGUUGAUCAUCAUCAUCAUCUCGGGAACAAUCCUCCGCGCGCUACCGCGAAAGUGCCACUAUGUUACGUUCCAAUCGUCUCAAACACGCGUCGUGUUCUUUUUCAUUUCUAAUUUUUCCUUAUUCUGUAACUUUUUAUAUUUUUAAGUUAAUAAUUUAAUUUUAAUUCAUUCAUCUUUGAUUUUAAGACGGGAAUCCAUGCUAUCUUGCAACGCUUUAUAAAUGAUAAUUGUUCGAUAGUAGCCUAAUAUCAAACCAAUAUUAAAUUAAAUCCAUAAUCAGUCUAAAGAAUUUCACCUAAAUUCAAUAAAAUUGAGAAAGUGGGAGGAAAAAAUUUAGAAAAAAUUAUUUUACAACAGAAAAAUGCCUAGAAAAAGUGAUAUUGAAGUUUGAGUGGAAUUUUGAGUGAAAUAAUUUAUUGUUAUAAAUAAUAACAAAACGCGUAAAAAUUUCAAUGAAUUUUAAGAGCAAGUGAUUAGUGAAGUGAUGAAUGUAACAAAACGUUUCGAGGCAGGAGUUUAUGGCGAAUUCAGGAAUUUGACAAAUGUGAAAUUAAUAAAAUGUGCAACAAUUAGAUAUAUGAAAAUAGUAAUAUUCGAAAAUAAGAAUAUUUGAAAAUAAUAUAUAAGAAAAGGUUAAAAGUGCAGAACACUAUUACAUGCAACAAACUGCGAGCACUCGCGAGCAUGAAAAAUCAUCCCUUCGGAAAAAGAACCAAUGUCAAAUCCUCUCAUAAAUGUCAAGUUUACAAUGGAACCUACCGUGCCCAAGAAGCAUCAUCAUCUUCACUGAUUGAUUGAGAAGAUCACCUAAAACUUUUCUUGUUUCUUUGUUUUGAUUCCAUGCUUUUUCGUACUAAAAAUAUUGAAUAAAUUCCAAAAUAAAUGCUUAAAAAAUCGAAAAUAAAUAAAAUUGAAUUGAUCACGAGCGCAUAAAUUAUUUGUAAUGGGCGAUCACAGAAAACUUAAAACGUAUAAGAAAAAGCCCAAGGAACUUAAAAGAUCGCGACCCAUUGGAGCUGAGCAUAUCCUUCAACUUAGUGGCGAGGGUGGCAAUGUUGGAGAUCUCGCCCAUCAAACACCGGAACAGCACCAAGGUCAGGUAGCAACCAGUAGCCGACUUCAACCAACAGUAUUUGCAGGAUUAGCGGAAUCGAAUGUCGACGGUGGGGCAGAUAGCGGGCACGCUAGUACCAUGGGUCGUAAAGUACACCGUGGUGACAAGGAUACAACGGGGAAGAAAAGUGGCCCAACAAAAGAGCGUUGGCUUUUGACACGCAAAACAUGGAAAUAUAUGCAACAGGCAGGUCGUCGUUUGAUUCCAGAUGGUGCACAAAAUCGGGCCGAGGAUGUGCCAAAACUUGAAGAAUUUUUUCAACAAGUUUGCCGGUCUGAACAGAAGUUUAUAAUAUGGAGCCGAAAAAGUUCAUAUCCGGGAGCGAUAGCAGCAUCGCGAAAACUUAAGCGACGAAUUCGACCAAGUGUGAGACAUCGAUCUAAAGCAAGUUCUGCCGAUGAAGCUGAAACCGAUGAGUACAAAGAGUAUGAUCGUCGAGCUGCUAUGGUUAUCCGACUCCUGCAUAGUUACCUCAACAUUUCGGAGCAAGAUAAACGACAGCCAGAACGCAGUUCAGAGUCACAAAUACCAACAACUGUACCAGGAGCAACAAGUGAACCAUCAACUAGUCGGUCAUCGUAUUCUUCUGUAUCCGUGACUACCUCGUCCUAUGGAUCACAACAACGGUCCCCGACUUCAUCGGACCAGCAAGGCGAAUCGGAUCUAUCGAAACGAACUGCUGAGCUUUUGGAAAGUCUUCGUUUGUAUAGCCAAGCCGCACACCGACCGAUCAUUCCACCCGAACAUAUAACUACGGAUCUUCUGCACAAUAAAACGUUACUGAAGAAAAUCUACAAUGAUCUCAAGAGGCAGCAGCUAUCUUUAGUAUUAAAUAGACACACUGCAGCAUCAACCAAUAAUCUGUCGCAUGCCAGCUCUCUGACGAGCCUCUUCAGUUUUCGGCGGGAUCAGCCCAAAACAUCACCCACCAGUAGUCUCAACGUAAAACUAAGAAGCACUGGAGGAGCUACAAACCUAUCUGGCCCCGAUGGAAACAAGGACACCUUCACAGGUGAUAAAGGCUUCCAAUUACCAAAAGAAAAGUACAUACGCCCCACAAACCAAUUGGUCCCUUUCAUAUCGGUCGUGAAACCAGCGAAAACCUUCACGACUCAGGGAAUGCAGACUGACUUCCUGCAACUGCAUGAAAUCAAUAACUUGCGAAAGGACUAUGAAACAAGAAAAAAGGAAUUGGAACUGCUAAACCAAGCACCUGAGGAAGAGGCCGAUUUUACAUCAAGGUCGCAUUCACGCCGAAAGAGUAGCGUCGAUAAUGAGGAUGUCUCCCAAUCGGUUAGUGAUACCAUCAAGCGAUACUUGCGAAUGGCUCGAAAAAAGAGCGUCAACGAUGAUGCCGCAAAUCGAUUCAAACGUGUCAACUAUGAUCGCAACCUCAGAAAUAUCCGAGCGAAAGGAGAAAUCAAUCCACCUGGGAUGGAUGAAGGAAAUUCAAAGGCAACCCAGACACUCGAUGCAUGGCCAUUGUUGCAUUACAAUAACAUUCGAGGGAUCGAUUGUGACAUUCUCUUGGAGGAAGCACACUCAGAUUGGAACAAUGCCCUCCAGCAAAGAAAGCAACAGCACGAGGAGUAUCUUCAGCAACAGCAAAAAGAUGCGUCAAAAGGGAAUCUAUCUGGAACUGGAUCAGUACCCCCACCACCUGGCCAGCAAGGCACAAUGGGAGCUCCCGGAGGCCUACCCGCGGCAGGAGCCGGUGCAGGAGGACUAUUUCAUUCGGGUACACAGUUUUUCUCAAAUUUGUGGCAUGGAUACCAUCAUAGUGCGCAUGAUAACUCUAAUACUCGUAAUUCUACUACUACUUCUACUACUCUCAAUGUAACUAGUUCUUGUAAUACUUCUACUACUACUAGCAAUACUACUACCAAUAGUCUAUAUAACAAUGCUACUGCAAAUAAUACAUCAACUGUGUUGUUUAAUCAACAUCAUGAUCAAACUGCAGCUCAACAACAACCCCAAUCAUCCCAAUCAACGCAACAGCAAAAAUAUAGUCCUUCGCAAUAUCAACAACAAGAACACCUUUCUGCAUCGGCCAAUAGUAGUGGUGGUAGUCAAGGAUUAACGAGUGCAAUGCAAAAAUCAAAAUCAUCAUCGAACGUCGGACAAUUUGUAUCCAAAAAGAUAUGGAAGUCCCGAUCGAAAAGUCAAAGUCGUAUACCAGCUACAAAUAAGCCUCAAUGGGCACCGCAGGGCAAUUGUAUAUGGAUGUCACCAAGUGGAAAACGUGUCGUACUAUCUGAUGGUCGUUUACGUGAUUUAUCAGAAAUAGAACGAAAAAUUUUACAUCGUGUAGCCAUUGAAAAGAUUAAUCAACUUAAUAUUGGAGUAAACGUUACAGUACCUGGAGAUAUCUCAAGUUCCACAUCGUCUAAAUCACAGAAACGCCGACCAUUAUUAAUUAAACGAAAAGCAUUAACAACUAGCAUUUUUGAUACCGGAAAAAAAGACGAAAAUAAAGUUAAUGGUGGCGGCCUGGUUUUUGGCGUAAGCAUAGAAAAAUGCGUUGACAAUGAUCGUUUGCACAAAAACGGUGGUGUUAGUGGUGGAGGCGGAGGUGGAUCAGAUCGUGGAUCACGGAAUUCUAUAAUAUCACUCUUGGGAGGCGGCAGUCACAACAAAGUAGGAUCAUGUGAAAGUUUACCUUCACGUUCUACCAACAUCCUGGGGCAAUAUGAUGAUAGUGGCGGAGGUGGUGGGACUGGGGGUGGUGGCUGUCGUAAUAGUUUUAUAAAUACUGCAACAAUGAAAAUGUCUCGAAGUCAAACGGACGUGAGACGAGGUAGUCAGGACGAGGACGAUUUGUUGGGUCACGAUGCACCAAAUAUGGCUGGUACAGAACCUAAUUCCGGACAACAAGUACCUGCGUUAGUGUUGGAAUGUAUUAAACAUAUAGAAGAGCAUGGUCUCCAUACUGUAGGCAUAUUUCGUGUUAGUACGUCUAAGAAACGUGUUAGGCAGUUGAAAGAAGGGUUUGAUCGGGGCGAAAUAACAUCAAUCGACGCUGAUAUAUGCCCGCAUGAUGUCGCCACCAUUCUUAAGGAGUACCUCCGAGAUCUGCCGGAGCCAUUACUCUGUCGAAGCCUAUACAAAGCCUUCGUGAAAACCCAAAAAAUACGUAAUCGACGGUUACAACUGGAGGCCCUCUCGCACCUUAUUCAACUCCUUCCAGUAGCACAUCGUGAUACUCUCUACGUAUUACUGCGAUUUCUAGCGAAAAUUGUUAGGUCAUCAGAUGAUGUAACGUCAAAUGAUACAGUAAUCACGGGCAAUAAAAUGGAUAGUAACAAUUUGGCAACGGUUAUAGCCCCAAAUAUCCUAAGGUCUACAGAGCCUGGGCGCAGUAAUACCACGGAACAAGAAAUCGAUGAACAAAUUGAUGUGAUUAAUGUGAUAAGAACAAUGAUUGAUCAUUACGAAGAGCUAUUUCGUAUACCAGCCGAACUGAUGGAUGAGAUCUAUACAAAUAUGAUGGAUACAUAUCCGGAACAAUUAGACUACCUUUGUGAAAGGAGAGACAUUGCGGAGCGAUAUGAUGAUGAUAUGGACAGCGCCAGUUCCAGCACACCUUUGAGUUCACCGCCUCCUGUUCCAAUACUGAAACACACCUCAUUUCCUCAACAUUCUGUGGCGUUUGAAGAAAGUGGUCCAGGUGCUCCAAAUGAUAAAAAUAUAACAAACCGACCGAUAUAUUCACGAGACGAUUUCCUUCAUGAAAACACUAUUAAAGGCGGUGAUCCCAAUGGGAAUGCCGCAACACAAAGGCGGGAGCGAACAUCGAGAAUGAAAUAUAUCGAAAGCGAGCACGAACUCACUCGACGACGGCGACGUGAACGAAAUCUUAGUGAAUCCGGAACGGGGGCAGGAACUCCUUCACCAACAAAAACAACAUUCAAUAGCAGUAGCACUAAUUGGAUACCAUUUAGCGUCGAGUCGCGAAACUCUACCGGUGACUCUGGAAUUCAACAAUAUCAGCAACAACAAACUGUUAAUCAAACCCAGCAGGGGCAGUUUCAACAGCAACAAUCAGCUCAAUCACGGAGAUUAUUCCCGCCAUAUGGUGAUCAGGAUGGUGCAGGGGUUGUGACAGCUAGCCUAAAAAUUCCUGUACAGAUGCAACAAUCGCAGCAGCAGCAGAACCCGAGGAAUCAAGCAAACAUGUGUGAUACAACUAAUAGUGGACAUAUAGAUCUAUCGGAUAUUCCGUAUAUUGAGGAUAAUGGCUGUGGACAGGAUAUUUUAACAGGAUCGUUACAUUUCGGGCGAGGUUCAGGCGCGGUGACCACUGGUACAACAACCUAUCAAAUUCCCAUCACUAUCGAAGGACGCACAACCUCCUCGUCAUCUACGAUGUCUGACCAGUCGCGAUCGUCAACGAUGCACCAAUAUAACACAGAUGAAACAUCAUCAGCGGCGAGCAGUAGACGAUCUUCAGAUAAUACCAGCAUCAUUUUACAGAAAUACCCUUCAGCCCUGGCAUCCCAACAGCAAGGUACACAACCGAAACGUCCUGAUAGCUUAAAACGGUCAUCAGGACGAAAGCAAUCCAACAACAUCCCAACGAGUGGUAGUGGGACAACUGGCGAAAAUAGUCCUAGUGGUGUACCAGUCCUAUCACCAACAACCCUUAUCGGACAGUUUGGUAGCCUCCAGGCAGCCCACCAUCACCAUCCCAACGCUGAACCUAAACUAACUCCAAGCAUUUCAAGUAUUGGUGGGGCCGUGUUACGCUCAAAAACUGCUGAUUUUGAAAGAAUCCUGAAGCAAAAUAAAAAGUCUAAAAGUGGUGAUACUACCUCAACAGCGGUAGAGGAAUUCAUAACGGGUUCUACCUCAGUGUCUAGUAGUUCUGCGGGCACAAUAGCUACUUCAACAGGUAGUGGAACUGCUGAAGAUUCAUCAAGACCUGAAAAAACCGCACGAAGUCGACAACAACAGACUGUCAGUCCUGCCGGGCCAAUUUACAAGCGCCAGGAACUAAUAUCAAGUGCACAAAGGACUUCGAAAUAGCAUUAAAUCGUGGAAUACGGGGGAGUGUUAUAAGCAAUAGUGCUGAAACUCUACCGGAUCACCUGGAAAUAUACGCCACGUGCUCUUACUCAUUCUACUCGUCAAGGUGAAUUAUUAAAAAAAAAAACUUAUUAUUUGAUAUUUUGAUUAGAAAGUUAACUUUUAAUAUAAAUUAAUGAUAAUAAAUUGAAAUCAAGUGUUCUAGUCGAAAGAAAAAAACACGGCAAUACCAAGUUGGUUGUUUACAAUUUAUAAUUUUGAUAUUUAAUAAUAAAAUAAUAUUAUAAAAGUAAGAAAGAGAGAAAGGUGGAUAAAAUGUGAAUAUAUACCAAAGAAAACCACAUUAAUUUUCAUUCAUUACAAGAAAAUAAUUAAGAAAAUUAAACUAUAUAUGUUUCUCCCCCUUGAGAAAUUAGAAUGAUUCAUAUUAUAUUGUUUUUAUUUCCAUUGUUUUUAAUAUUAUAUUGAACUUGUUUUAGUUUGAACCACGCCAUCUUUAUUGUUAAUUUAUCUUUGUUCAUUUUAUAUUUUUUAUUCGUUGAACGUCACAUGGAAAAUUGUGAAAUUAAGAUACAUGUUCAGACUGUUACGAUGCCGUUGUUUUAUUUUCUACUAUUAUUGAAAAUCAUUAAACCUAAAAAAAAAAAAAACAAACCAAAAAAAAUAAGUAAAACGUACACCAUUUUGUUACACCAUUUUUGUUAUUAGAACAUUUUUAUUGUAGUUAUCGCAAUGUUAUAAUUUAUUUGCUGGAAAAAGUUUUUUGUCUACCGUAUUUGUAUUCAUGGAAAUAUAAUUGUUCGAAUUUGCUACCUAAAAUUGAUGCAUUUCAUGCACACCUCACAUGCAGACACACAAAUCUUGAUAAAUCAAAGAACGUGUAAAAUCAGUGGCACAAAAUGUGAAAAUACACAAACAUAUAUACAUAAUAA
rnacentral:misc_RNA from 1 species